rnacentral:tRNA from 3 species
AAGGCCUUAAGUUAAAACAUUAAACUAAUAACCUUCAAAGCUAUAAAUAAAGGGCUUCCUUUAGGCCUUG